AGACCCGAAACCCGGUGAUCUAGCCAUGGGCAGGUUGAAGGUUGGGUAACACUAACUGGAGGACCGAACCGACUAAUGUUGAAAAAUUAGCGGAUGACCUGUGGCUGGGGGUGAAAGGCCAAUCAAACCGGGAGAUAGCUGGUUCUCCCCGAAAGCUAUUUAGGUAGCGCCUCGUGAAUUCAUCUCCGGGGGUAGAGCACUGUUUCGGCUAGGGGGCCAUCCCGGCUUACCAACCCGAUGCAAACUGCGAAUACCGGAGAAUGUUAUCACGGGAGACACACGGCGGGUGCUAACGUCCGUCGUGAAGAGGGAAACAACCCAGACCGCCAGCUAAGGUCCCAAAGUCAUGGUUAAGUGGGAAACGAUGUGGGAAGGCCCAGACAGCCAGGAUGUUGGCUUAGAAGCAGCCAUCAUUUAAAGAAAGCGUAAUAGCUCACUGGUCGAGUCGGCCUGCGCGGAAGAUGUAACGGGGCUAAACCAUGCACCGAAGCUGCGGCAGCGACGCUGAUGCGUUGUUGGGUAGGGGAGCGUUCUGUAAGCCUGUGAAGGUGGCCUGUGAGGGUUGCUGGAGGUAUCAGAAGUGCGAAUGCUGACAUAAGUAACGAUAAAGCGGGUGAAAAGCCCGCUCGCCGGAAGACCAAGGGUUCCUGUCCAACGUUAAUCGGGGCAGGGUGAGUCGACCCCUAAGGCGAGGCCGAAAGGCGUAGUCGAUGGGAAACGGGUUAAUAUUCCCGUACUUGGUGUUACUGCGAAGGGGGGACGGAGAAGGCUAUGUUGGCCGGGCGACGGUUGUCCCGGUUUAAGCGUGUAGGUGUGUGUUCCAGGUAAAUCCGGUUCACUUUAACACUGAGGCGUGACGACGAGGCACUACGGUGCUGAAGCAACAAAUGCCCUGCUUCCAGGAAAAGCCUCUAAGCAUCAGGUAACAUCAAAUCGUACCCCAAACCGACACAGGUGGUCAGGUAGAGAAUACCAAGGCGCUUGAGAGAACUCGGGUGAAGGAACUAGGCAAAAUGGUGCCGUAACUUCGGGAGAAGGCACGCUGACAU
rnacentral:rRNA from 1 species